GGGGAAGUGGCGGAGUGGUCAAUCGCACCAGACUGUAAAUCUGGCGUCUCAAAAGGCUUCGUUGGUUCAAAUCCAACCUUCCCCA
rnacentral:tRNA from 1 species